rnacentral:rRNA from 1 species
GUCUGCAACUGACGCUGAGGCUCGAAAGCAUGGGUAGCGAACAGGAUUAGAUACCCUGGUAGUCCAUGCCGUAAACGAUGAGUGCUAGGUGUUGGAGGGUUUCCGCCCUUCAGUGCCGGAGCUAACGCAUUAAGCACUCCGCCUGGGGAGUACGACCGCAAGGUUGAAACUCAAAGGAAUUGACGGGGGCCCGCACAAGCGGUGGAGCAUGUGGUUUAAUUCGAAGCUACGCGAAGAACCUUACCAGGUCUUGACAUCUUGCGCUAACCUUAGAGAUAAGGCGUUCCCUUCGGGGACGCAAUGACAGGUGGUGCAUGGUCGUCGUCAGCUCGUGUCGUGAGAUGUUGGGUUAAGUCCCGCAACGAGCGCAACCCUUGUUACUAGUUGCCAGCAUUAAGUUGGGCACUCUAGUGAGACUGCCGGUGACAAACCGGAGGAAGGUGGGGACGACGUCAGAUCAUCAUGCCCCUUAUGACC